rnacentral:rRNA from 1 species
CAGCCGCCGCGGGAACACGUAGGUGGCAAGCGUUGUCCGGAAUUAUUGGGCGUAAAGGGCUCGCAGGCGGUUUCUUAAGUCUGAUGUGAAAGCCCCCGGCUCAACCGGGGAGGGUCAUUGGAAACUGGGAAACUUGAGUGCAGUAGAGGAGAGUGGAAUUCCACGUGUAGCGGUGAAAUGCGUAGAGAUGUGGAGGAACACCAGUGGCAAAGGCGACUCUCUGGUCUGUAACUGACGCUGAGGAGCGAAAGCGUGGGGAGCGAACAGGAUUAGAUACCCGGGUAGUCCCUGUCUCUUAUAC